rnacentral:rRNA from 1 species
UACGUAGGGUGCGAGCGUUACUCGGAAUUACUGGGCGUAAAGCGUGCGCAGGCGGCUGUGCAAGCCAGGUGUGAAAUCCCCGGGCUUAACCUGGGAACUGCACUUGUGACUGCAUGGCUGGAGUACGGCAGAGGGGGAUGGAAUUCCGCGUGUAGCAGUGAAAUGCGUAGAGAUCGGGAGGAACAUCAGUUGCGAAGGCGGCUCUCUGGACCAGCACUGACACUGAGGCACGAAAGCGUGGGGAGCAAACAGG